rnacentral:rRNA from 1 species
CAGUCGCCGCGGGAAUACGAAGGGGGCUAGCGUUAAUCGGAAUUACUGGGCGUAAAGCGUGCGUAGGCGGUUUGUUAAGUCUGCUGUGAAAUCCCCGGGCUCAACCUGGGAAUGGCAGUGAAUACUGGCAAGCUAGAGUGUGUCAGAGGAUGGUGGAAUUCCACGUGUAGCAGUGAAAUGCGUAGAGAUGUGGAGGAACACCGAUGGCGAAGGCAGCCCCCUGGGCCAAUACUGACGCUCAUGCACGAAAGCGUGGGGAGUAAACAGGAUUAGAUACCCCCGUAGUCCCUGUCUCUUAUAC